rnacentral:rRNA from 1 species
UACGUAGGGGGCAAGCGUUGUCCGGAAUCAUUGGGCGUAAAGAGCGUGUAGGCGGUUAGGUAGGUCCGUUGUGAAAACUCGAGGCUCAACCUCGAGACGCCGAUGGAAACCAUCUGACUAGAGUCCGGAAGAGGAGAGUGGAAUUCCUGGUGUAGCGGUGAAAUGCGCAGAUAUCAGGAGGAACACCGAUGGCGAAGGCGGCUCUCUGGGACGGUACUGACGCUGAGACGCGAAAGCGUGGGGAGCGAACAGG